AUUCUCCCAGGAGUGGGGGGAUAUUCUCCCUGGAGUGGGGGCGGUAUUCUCCCAGGAGUGGGGGGAGUAAGGUAUGCAGGAGAACCUGGAGUGUGCCAAUGACACGGACUUGGGCAGGAACACCUGCGCGUGACAGGUGCUGUGCUGCUCUUUGUACACACAUCACCUCUCUUGCACAACCCCGGCAGCGGCAUGAUCCCUGUAGUAACCUAGGAAAACUGGCAUUCAGAAAAGGUGGAAAGUUAGAUCCCUUAGCCAGUGGGGCCUCAAAAGUGCACAGAAAGCUCCGUAUCGCGUCUUUCCCUGUGUUUCCUUCCCAAACACUCCUGCUCAGCCCGUGUGUUAGAAUCCCAGAUCAGCUCCGCGAGGGGAGGCAGCAUGGGAGGAUAUUCAGCAAGGUGUGUGUGGGCAGGGUUCAGACAAAGCCGGGAAGCUGAGUAAUCAGCCUGCCCUUAGUAGGAACUGGAAAGGACCAGCCCGAGAGCUGUGUCCUUCAGGGACCCAACCAGGAAGGUGCUAACAUAAUCUUAUUUUUCUUGCUCUGAUUUGCUAAUGGCCUAUUGAGUAAAACCAACUAGAAGCCUGAGGCUAGAAAAGGUUGUAGACCGGUCAAGUCAAGCCAUGGGACAAAAUGCUGUCAGGCAGGACUUCCCCGCCCUGCCUGCUAUGUUUAGGGUAACAGGGUCUUGCCAGAACUUUGGCGGGGUAAGCUGAAAGAGCAGUGGUUAUAUGGAAGCUAGAGAGUUAUCCUAUCACAGAAACCUGUCUACCUAGGAAAGGAACCUGAAGGAGAAGCCCCCUGGCCUGCUGUGACUCUUCCUUCACCAUCAGCUCUUGAGGCAGAGGAGGGCCAGACAUGUGUUCAGUUUGAGAAUAUUAUGUCAAGAGCAGACAUAAAGCUGGAGGGUGGCCCCAUCUGGAGAACACCAGGAGAGCGUCUGGACCGGAAGGACAAAUGGAAACAGCAUGGAGUAGGAGCCAGCAUGAGAACCAUGAUGGGAAAGAAGGGAGGCCUCUGCGGGCGGCGGUUGCAGCCGUGAGAAGGCCGAGUGAAGAGGAAAGAUGAUCCGGGCUGGUGGGUAAUCAGGAAUGUGUGCGUGACAAUUUUACAUCUUCCAGUGGGGAUGUGAAACAGAGGAAGUUUUCUCUAGGGCCACAUAGGAGUGGCUAUGGCCCAGAGAAGAUUGAGAAGAUGGCCCCACAUCCCACGCUCCACCAUGAUGGCAGCUUUGAGGUUUGUAGUUGCUUUCCUUUGGGUCAGGUGGUUUGUUUUGUUUGUUUGUUUUUGUUUGUAGGACUUUUGGUUUUUGGUGUUUGUUGAUGUUUUGGUUUGGAUUAGUUUUUGUUCGUCUUUAGUCAGAGACUCUCUAUGUAGCCUUUGCUAGCCUGGAACUCACUAUGUAGACCAGGCUGGCCUCAAACUCCAAGAGAUCCACCCCCCUCUGCCUUCUAAAUACUGGAUUAAAGGUGUGCAAAGCCACGCCCAGCAUUCACCAUCACAGGCCUAGGGUGCCGUCUGAUGACUGUCUUAGUUUUCAGGGUUAAUGAAAGUGAUCUAUUAAUUCAUCCCAAAAGAUUUUACUGGGUAGUCAGAAAGAUGAAGUGUGAAUGGCGAAGUGUGAAUGGCUAUCUAGGGGGCUAAAGACAGCCAAAAUACACUGCCAUUCAGCACCAGACCUGCAGCAUCCCAGCUUCUCCACAAUCAUUUAAGUUCUAGCCAGUCAGUCCACCACCCUUGGAGAAGGUCAAAUGUGUGAACUUCUUUCUAGAAACAUUAGCCCACACCCCACCCGUCACUGUCCCCAUUUCUCACGGUCACUCCCUCGUAUAUUUUGUAUAUACCUAGGAAGAGAACUCAAGAAUUACCCUUCCUCCGGCUGACCUCCUGCAGAGAGCCAGCUUCCUAUUUCUGCUACCAACACGCCGCCACUGUCUUCUGAAGUAAAAACUUUCUGGGAGAUGUCCUGCUCUGCUCAGCUUUGCGGCUGGGAGAUAGGUUUAGUGUUGCAGUCACAAGAAGAGAACUUGUGAAGAACACAAGAGAAAGCAGAAGUUCAGAGAAUUUCCUGGGGCAUUGCAGGCCAUCGGUCUCUCAGUGUCCAUGAGGGUUUGGGUUUGCUCCCCAGUGCCACAGGAAGAGGGGGUGAGCUAAGGCCCCAGACUCACUCUGCUGGGGUAGCCUGGGCCUCCGUCCUUCCCUGAAGUUCUGGAGUGUCUUGUCACUCACAACAGAAGAUGGUCUCUUGUUCUUCGAUACAAUGAACAGUGGUCAGAACUUAGUGGGACAGGAUGUGAGUGGACGCCUUCUAGUUUUCUGGUGACCUGAGGAUAUCCCAGUGUUCCUCAUUGGUAGUCUGUGGGGAUGCUCACAAAAUCCUGGCUAUAGGAUAAAUGUCUGGUUUGCGGUUUUGGUGACUUGCCCUUGAAUGUCAAGUACAAAGUGCGUCCUACAUUUCCUCCUCACUCAUUAUUAGAGUCUGAUGGCAGAGAUCUGGUAAGCUGCAUUUCCCCACCAACCCCAAGCCUCAAGUCAGAAGUCCCUCGUCUUUUCCAGUUGUUCCUAAAUCUACUUUUUUAAAGUGAUGUCUCCCACAUCAUUUCCCCUGAUCAUGUUUGGGUUUUUUUGUUUCAUUUUGUUUUGUUUUUGGUUAUUCGAGACAAGAUUUUUCUGUGUAACAGCCCUGGCUUCCUGGAACUAGCUCUUAUAGACCAGGCUGGCCUUGAACACAGAGAUCCUCCUGUCUCUGCCUCCCGAGUGCUGGGAUUGAAGGUGUGCGCCACCAGACUAUAGGGCUCUUUUUCACUCCUUUCUUCUGACUUCUCAUUCUCAUUGAGUAGUUCUUACCUUACCUGCCCCUGAUAUCUGGGGUACACUGACAUUCCUUGGGAAUAAAACAAGAUUCAAACAGGAUCUUAAUCCUGAAGAGGAGAAAGUAAGCAGGGAGUUUGUGACUCUGCUUCUGUCAAACUGUACUGCACCCCUGAGGAACUGUGACAGGGAAACCUAGGCCAGGUAGUUAUUUGCUUACCACAGGGGGGCACUGUGUCUCCAUGGGUGAACUAGAGUAUGUCACGCCAAAAAAAAAAGGGGGGGGUCAAUCUAGGACAGCAAAUGCCCUCCCCACCCCCAGUCCCUCCAGAAACAUCUAUAGUUGUAUUCAAAUACAUAUACACUUAAAUGAAAUUUGUUCCCAGUUGUGAAAAUUACUCUGCUAACAAUAUGACCUCUGUAGGCAGAUUCUAAGCAAAGUUUGUCUUCCCUUCCAUAAUAACAACAGCAGCUACACCAGCAGAGACUGGUGGAAACCCCAGUUCUUAGCUUUCUCCUCAGUUUUGCCCCCAGUGGCUAUAGCAAUACUCUGUUUUUCUUCAGUUUGGCAUUUUAGCAGUGUUUGUUGCCUAACCCAACAUCCACCCGACAGCUAACUAUAACCCACUAACACCCUCUUCUGGCACUGGCCUGCAUCUAGAUGGGGUUAGGACUAGUGCCAGAGCUCAGUGGUAGGGCACUUGCCUAGCAUGUACAAGGUCCUGGGUUCAAUCCCCAGCACGAGAAAGGAAAGGAAAGUAACACCAGCAUCAAGGCCAUAAGCCUGUCUCACUACCACGCCUGAAUGUGGCCCUUGAUGCCACAGGGCUCAGUCUACCACUCAGAGCUAUGGAGGAAAUAGCACAAUUAAGGUUUCCAUGAAGCAAACUUUAACAACCCCAUAAUAUUCUAUCUACAUUGUUCCAAAAAGGACUUUCUCAUUUUCACUUGUGCACGUCUGUGUGUGCUGUGGCGUGACCCUAAGUGUUCAUGUAUGUACAUCCUUGUGUGGCGGCCAGAGGGAGACUGAGCAUAUCCCUCCAUCGCUCUACACCUAAUUUUUUUCUUUUCUCGAGACAGGGUUUCUCUAUUUUUGGUGCCUGUCCCGGAACUAGCUCUUGUAGACCAGGCUAGCCUCAAACUCACAGAGAUCCGCCUGUCUCUGCCUCCAGAGUGCUGGGAUUAAAUGCAUGCGCCACCACCGCCCGGCUCUGCACCUCAUUUUUUGAGACUGGGUGUUGUCUAGCACAACCCUCUAAAUGAAACAGCCACCAUCGUCAUGCCUGUCUGCAAAAGAUCUUCAUAGCUAGGCUUGCUGACACAAAGGAAGGACGCAGCUUACUGAACCCUCCCUACCACUCCUCCCACCCAUCUCAGGCCGUGGACUCAGAGAGGAGCAAGAGUAUACAGCUUGGGAAGACUAGGAGUGAGUUCCACCUGAACAGCAAUGGAGAAUCAUCACCUUUAUGAGAAGCAGACCUUCCAGUGUGCCUGCCUUAAGGUCACCCACAAUCUCUUUAAUUGGUUUCCCAGAGUGCACUUCGGUUUGUCAUUGGGGGGCUAGUUCCAUUGCUUGGUUCUAAACCCUCAGAAAGAAAAUUCUCCCAGCACUCGGUCCCAAUUGACACUGCUGCCCACUGAUUGGCUAGCCUGGCCAGGCAGUGAGCCAAGUAGUUUAACUCCCAGAUCCCCCAAUUCUGCCAGUGAAUAAAAGGCCUAGAGCCCUUGGAGGGUAAAAGAGGGUGUUGGAUCCCCUGAAACUAUAAGGAUGCUAGCAGUGAGCUGCCAUAUGGGCUAGGAAUUGAACCCAGGUCCCCCGAAGAGUAACUAGUGCUCCUAACCACUGAGCCAUCUUCCCAGCCCUUCAGUCAGCUCUCUUUCUUUUAAUAUUUAUUUAUUUAUUAUGUGUAUAAUAUCCUGUCUGUGUGUAUGCCUGCCGGCCAGAAGAGGGCACCAGGCCCCAUUACAGAUGGUUGUGAGCCACCAUGUGGUUGCUGGAAAUUGAACUCAGGACCUUUGGAAGAGGAGGCAAUGCUCUUAACCACUGAGCCAUCUCUCCAGCCCCCAGUCAGCUUUCUUGAAGAACACGAUAUUGAUGACAUCUCUGAAGUCCUAGUCUUCCUCGAGGACCCACAAAUGAUAAGCAAGUCCCCUGAAAUCUACACCAGUUCUCUUUCCCAAGCUUACACACAUUGUUAAUAGAAAGAGCAAUACCAUGUUUCUCAGAUCCCAUGCUCACAGACUGCACAAACCACCCCCCGGGUUAUAGCACUUGGAGGGGAACAAGGAGGGGGCAGGGAAGGGUGGGAUGCAGGCACAUCCAGACCAGGUUAAUAACGGUUUCCUCUGUAGUUUAUUGUCACCGCAGACGUUGUGGGAGACAGGAGGUCACGCUCUACACACAACAGUACGGUCAGAGCCGCGGCAGCCCUUCCCACCCUGAUGCCAAGCCCCAAGCAGUCUGGCCUGAGCUCUCUCCCCUAGGUGUGCACUGAUAGCUACGGAAGUUAGUGCAGCCACAUGGCCAGGCCCGCUCUGCUGCCCCAGCUCCCAUCCUUCCACCACUAUUCUUCACGUCCACCAUUUCCCAUUCUUACUUCCUUUUUAUGUGCUGGAUAUUUCUGUCACAUUUUAAGAA